GAGGGUAUAGCUCAGUGGUAGAGCAUUUGCCUAACACGCAUGAGGUCCUAGGUUCAAUCCCCAGUACCUCCU
rnacentral:tRNA from 1 species